GAUGAAGAACGUAGCGAAAUGCGAUAAUUAAUGUGAAUUGCAGAAUUCCGUGAAUCAUCGAGUCUUUGAACGCACAUUGCGCCUCAUGGCAUUCCGUGAGGCAUGCCCAUCUCAGCGUUAGAAAAUAUUCUCAAAUUUUAGUUUUGUGCUAAAAUUUGGAUCAUGUCAAAGAAGUUAUUACUAUUAUUAUGAUCGCUCUUUGGAAAUUGAUAGGUCUUUGAGUUGCUACUCAUAGAACGUGAUGAAUCUUUCUUCGUUCUAUUGUAAUUCACUCUGGUAGUCCUAAAACUUGUAUGCCUGUGGCAUAUCUUGUAAUUUGACCUGAGAUUGGGUAGGGAUACCCGCUGAACUUAAGCAUAUCAAUAAGCCGGAGGA
rnacentral:misc_RNA from 1 species